CCUCACACCAGUGGAGGAAUUUGCGUCUCCCUCCUCCCCUGGAGCAGCAGGAGUUGGAAUGGGGGUAGGGAAGAAGAGAGAGAGCAGAGAAGAGCUUCAGGAGUGAACUGCCUGCAAGCUAGGUGGAAAGGCAGAGGGAACACAGGCCGGACCUGGUGAGGGGGACAGGCUCCCAGGGACCAGAGCUGUCUCCUCUGGCCUCACUCCUGGUGUUAGGAGGUGGCAGACAGGAUCCCAGAAUGAGGCAGGCCAAAAAUAGCCAAGUAGCAGGGACAGCCUCUAGGAGACCCUGGACGGGAAGGGGCCAUCAGACCUCCAGAACCCUUCCUUGGUGUCAUCGUUCGUUGACGUACGCAGCUGUAGUCGUUCUUUUUAAUUGAGAUGUAAUUGACAUAUUUCAUUAGUUUCAGGUACAACACAACGAUUCGAUAUUUGUAAAUCUUGAGAAACGAUCGCCACGGCAUUGUUCCAGAAUCUCUGUGUGCAUCAAGGCAGCUAACCUUCACAGGCACAUGAGGAAGUAAGACUCGUUAUCCCAUUCACAGAUGGGAAAGCUGGGGUCCAGAGAGGUCAAAUCACUAACCUAAGGGCACAGAGCUCGAAGGUGGCGGAAGCAGGGUUUGAGCCCAGGUCAUGGGGCUCCGAGUCUGUGAGUUUACCCUGCUUUAAAAUAAGGGGAAGUCAUUUCAGCCUGAGAGUUGGGGGCAGAGCCCAGGCUGAACCCCGGUCUUCAGUUUCUGGGCUCCUUUGUGCUAGGGCCCCUCUGCCUUUCAGGGUUCUGAGAAGCCAAACUCCUUUGUUCUUCGUGGCUUCUUGGCCUGGUCCCUGGGGGCUGCGGGGAAGGCCCUGGCGCUCACAGCCUGGCCUCCUGGCUGGCCAGAGCUCCCGAAUGCAAUCACAUCCCCUUUAUUUUUAAGCCAUUAAGUCCCUGAUGACAAACGCCGUUCUUUGGAUGAGCAGGCCGACCUGACCGGGAGAGCAGAGUCGCUGGGUAUGGAAAAACGAUCUGGAAGCCACACGCCUCAGCGGGUGUUUGUGACCAUCAGGCAGGGAGGGCAGCCUCGCCCCACUCUGCUUCCCUCGGG
rnacentral:lncRNA from 1 species